UUGAUCAAACAAUUCGAUCUGUGCUAUAAACAUUUAAAUGAACCUACAGAAUAGGCUAUCAAAAUAGAAUCAUCUGAAUGAUCUUUCUUGGACAUACAUUUUGAAGUGACCCUUCGAAUUAAAAAGGUUCCUCAGCUGCUUUUGAGGAAAAACAUCAAUGUGCUUGGCCACUCUGGUUUUUAAAUGGUAUUCUGAACUAAAGCAAGGAUUGUUCAAGUUAGUUGAAAAUAGACCGUCUCUGGUUAAAUUAGUUCUACACCAAGCCUUUAGGUGGCAGUAAAACGAAUUGGCACAAUGCGAAUUCCACACACAAGCCACAAAGAAAGAAGCCAUCAGCCGCGGUCAACAGCACCUUCCUGAUUGAACAGAACCACGCGUUGUCUGUGUGGUUUACAAGUUUCUUGGCGAUAUGGGGGGAAAGUUCCUCACAUACCAACGGAAAAUGGGCUUCAUAUACAUGCUGCUGUCUCAUAAUAUGGCGAAGACGAGUCACCUGAAGGCCUAACUCGCCAUAGAAGACUGAAAGAAUUGUCCUGCAGGAUGCUGUGUCCUGCAAUCCUGUGUGCUGUGCUACAGACGCGUGUGGAGGUCAACCCAAAAUGGGCACAGUCUCACCACAGAAGAGUGAAAGAGGAUCCUGGCAGGGAGACGGUAGUGUCCUGCAGAAUGGUGAUGGGCCAAUCUUACAAGAGACCACAGAAAACUGAUAUAGUGAACUAUAGAAACAACAGUGCCUGCUGCAGUAUAACGAGGACACCCUGAGCAGAGAGCUCCAAUAGGCCCAGGUCCAGUGUCUUGGCAGGGUGAAAUGGCACUGAUAUGGUGUCCUGCAGGAUGCUGUGUCCUGCAAUCCUGUGUGCUGUGCUACAGACGCGUGUGGAGGUCAACCCAAAAUGGGCACAGUCUCACCACAGAAGAGUGAAAGAGGCUCCCAGAAGUGAGACUGAGUGCCUGUUGCAGUAUGACGAGGACGCAGUGC